UCUUGGGUAGUGAUUAUUACUUGGACUGGCUAUCGUCAAGUCUGUAUACUAUCUUGCUACUUGCUGAGUUUAACAUGGUGAACUUGUCCUUAAUUUACAAACAAAAGAAUUACCAAAAUUAUACAUGGAAAUGUUAAUCAUUCUAAUGCGGUGCCACCGCAUCUACUUAUCUUGAGCUGCUGAUCUUGGACCACAUAGAGGAAGCUUGAGCUGGAUUUCACAUGGCGUCUCUUAGACCUGCUGCUCCUCUUGAUUCUCUAACAUCUAAUUCUAAACCUCCCACUCAACAACAACACUCUACCACCAUGUCUAAUGAUAAGGUACAAUGGAGAACCUCCACUGCUUAGGAAGCUGAUUUCUCAGGGUGCUAUUAACAAAAAGUUCAACGUUGAAGUUUAUCCUCUAUCUCUAAAGCUAACAGAUUCCAGGGACAAUCGUCAAUCUGAAGUGUCAGUAAGAAGGUUAACAUUGCAAUUCACCAGGGUUUGAUGUAGUGUUGAUUAUGGUUUGAUGAUGUUAAAGGGCGAGAGUUUUUGGAUAUUACUUCUGGGAUUGCUGCUAAUGCCCUUGGUCAUGGUGAUCCUGAUUGAGUUCGAGCCGUUUCUAAUCAGGCCCGUACAUUGGCCCAUGUUAGCAACAUUUUCUAAACCGUUCCCAUGGUAUACCGAGCACUUCCCGGAGGAGACAUUUCAGUUACAGAGGUUUAUAGCCGCAAUAGGACAAUAGCUGAUGGAAGUACAGUCCAAAAUAGCAAAUGGUUUUGUUGUUGAGAUCACGAAUGAGCUUGACGGGCCAUCUAAUUUUGACAUGAAACGAUUUGGUGAUACAAUGCAAUGCAUGUUUAAGGAUGUACAAAGGGGUCUUGAAGUACGGGUUUCUCGGAUUAUUGGUGAUCUUGAAGGUACAUUGGCUUAUGAGGGAAUUCAUCUUGAAUCAAUUUAAUUCUCUACGAUCACUUUAAAUCAGAUACUUCCUCCAUUCAGUUUUACUCGCAACGUUUGUCAUUUUCACGCAUGCCAAUGCACAACUUUGAUUAUUAAUAUCUUUAAAUCCCUUUAAUUAAAAAUUAUAAAAAGUUGAUUUUUUGAAAAUACACAUUGAGACGAAUCUAACAAGAUCCAACAACGCUAUAUUUUAUCUUACAUACAAAUCACCAACAAUAGUCAAAGUAGAAUAUUGAAUAGUGUUAAAUGUCUAACCGUUGCGAGUAUAAAUAAUCGGAGGAAAUAUAAUAUAUGCACUUAUUUUGAAACAAUUGAUGUCCACAAGACGACAGGGGCGGUGUCACUAAGGGUUUAGUGGGUUACUGAACCCUUACUGGACCAGAAAAAACCCGUCAUAUUUUAUAUAUAUAUAUAUUCUAACAUCUGAUAAUCCCCUAAUGCAUUAAGUCAUCCCUCUAUGGACUAAGAAGAACCCUUCGACAUGUGAGCAUCAUUUAAUUUCAGCAAUUUUAUGUGGAUCAUUGCCUACCCAAAAUUGAAAAAAUAUACUAUUAAAACAAGAACCAUUUUCCUAUAAAAGUUUCACGGUUAGGAUUUUCAUAAACAUUGAAAUUAUACCUCAAAGGCUGGCGCACAACCAGAAAUAGUUUGUUAUUCUAUGUUUUGACUUUCUCAAGUGCAUAAACAAUGUGAUCCCAAACUUCUGAUGCCCAAUUCAUGGACUCAAAUACUUCAUCCUUUACAAAUGUUUGCAAGACCACAAUACAAUUAUUGUCAGUGCUUGGUAGUAAAAACUGAUCCAAGAUGUAAUAGCGCAGAAGUUUUGUGUAUUCCAACUUGUUUGUUUAAUUAAUCUUGAUGCCCAUCAGAAUAUUCUUUAACUCCUUGUGAGUUAACUUCUUCUUUCUGUUUCCAUUCUUUAUCUUCUCAAUGAAAGUCGAAAAGGAAGAAGAAUCUUUUGAGGUCGGAACAUAUUUUCGACUUUUCCCAGUGUUCUUUAUCCCGAGCACAUGAGCAGCUUCACAUGCACAAAUGUGAAGUACAUUUUGUCAUUCAACACAAACAUCUUGC